rfam:Poecilia formosa, whole genome shotgun sequence.
GCUCCAGUGGCGCAAUCGGUCAGCGCGCGGUACUUAUACGACAGUAACCUGCUAAGUGAUGCCAAGGUUGUGAGUUCAAGCCUCACCUGGAGCA